rnacentral:misc_RNA from 1 species
GAAAUGCGAUAAGUAAUGUGAAUUGCAGAAUUCAGUGAAUCAUCGAAUAUUUGAACGCACCUUGCGCUCCUUGGUAUUCCUUGGAGCAUGCCUGUUUGAGUAUCAUGAAAUCUUCAAAGUAAAUCUUUUGUUAACUCAAUUGGUUUCUACUUUGGUAUUGGAGGUCUUUGCAGCUUCACACCUGCUCCUCUUUGUUCAUUAGCUGGAUCUCAGUGUUAUGCUUGGUUCCACUCGGCGUGAUAAGUUAUCUAUCGCUGAGGACACUGUAAAAGGUGGCCAAGAUAAAUGCAGAUGAACCGCUUCUAAUAGUCCAUUGACUUGGACAAUACUUUUAUGAUCUGAUCUCAAAUCAGGUAGGACUACCCGCUGAACUUAAGC